rnacentral:rRNA from 1 species
UACGUAGGGUGCGAGCGUUGUCCGGAAUUAUUGGGCGUAAAGAGCUCGUAGUCGGUUUGUUGCGUCGGCCGUGAAAACCUGCAGCUUAACUGUGGGCCUGCGGCCAAUACGGGCAGACUUGAGUUCGGUAGGGGAGACUGGAAUUCCUGGUGUAGCGGUGAAAUGCGCAGAUAUCAGGAGGAACACCGGUGGCGAAGGCGGGUCUCUGGGCCGAUACUGACGCUGAGGAGCGAAAGCGUGGGGAGCGAACAGG